rnacentral:ncRNA from 12 species
GCCUCCUUAGCGAAUAGUCGUCCGGUUAACGGCGUGCUUGUCAGUAAGACGACAAGAUAGCUUGGGAGGUUUUC